rnacentral:rRNA from 1 species
UAAAUCAGUUAUGGUUCACUAGAUCGUACAGUUUACAUGGAUAACUGUGGUAAUUCUAGAGCUAAUACAUGCACACAAUCCGUUCCCUCGUGGAGCGGAUGCAGUUAUUUGCCCAAAACCAAUCCGGCCUUCGGGUCGGUCAAUUGGUGACUCUGAAUAACCGAAGCGGAGCGCAUGGUCUCGUACCGGCGCCAGAUCUUUCAAGUGUCUGACUUAUCAGCUUGUUGUUAGGUUAUGUUCCUAACAAGGCAGUAACGGGUAACGGGGUGUCAGGGCCCGACACCGGAGAGGGAGCCUGACAAACGGCUACCACAUCCAAGGAAGGCAGCAGGCGCGCAAAUUACCCACUCCCGGGACGGGGAGGUAGUGACGAAAAAUAACGAUGCGAGAGCGAUAAGCUCCUCGUAAUCGGAAUGGGUACACUUUAAAUCCUUUAACGAGGAUCUAUUGGAGGGCAAGUCUGGUGCCAGCAGCCGCGGUAAUUCCAGCUCCAAUAGCGUAUAUUAAAGUUGCUGCGGUUAAAAAGCUCGUAGUUGGAUCUGGGUAGUCGAUGGACGGUGCGCUUUACGGCGUCUACUGUUCGUUCGGCACCACAUGCCGGCCAUGUCUUGCAUGCUCUUCACUGAGUGUGCUUGGCGACCGGAACGUUUACUUUGAAAAAAUUAGAGUGCUCAAAGCAGGCGUUAAGCCUUGCAUAAUGGUGCAUGGAAUAAUAGAAUAGGACCUCGGUUCUAUUUUGUUGGUUUUCGGAGCUCGAGGUAAUGAUUAAUAGGAACAGACGGGGGCAUU